rnacentral:rRNA from 1 species
AAACCAGCACCUCAAGUGGUCAGGAUGAUUAUUGGGCCUAAAGCAUCCGUAGCCUGCUUUGUAAGUUUUCGGUUAAAUCUGUAUGCUCAACAUACAGGCCGCCGGGAAUACUGCAGAUCUAGGGAGUGGGAGAGGUAGACGGUACUCGGGAGGAAGUGGUAAAAUGCUUUGAUCUCUCGAUGACCACCUGUGGCGAAGGCGGUCUACCAGAACACGUCCGCCGGUGAGGGAUGAAAGCUGGGGGAGCAAACCGGAUUAGAAACCCGAGUAGUCC